AAUUACCAAAUCCCAUAAACUAUCUUUUUCAACUUCAUUU
rnacentral:sRNA from 1 species